UAAAGACUAUGAGGUUGAUAGGCAGGGUGUGUAAGCGUUGUGAGGCGUUGAGCUAACCUGUACUAAUUGCCCGUGAGGCUUGACUAUAUAACGCCAAAGCGU
rnacentral:rRNA from 1 species